AAUAGAUACCCGGGUAGUCCACGCUGUAAACGAUGAUUACUGGUUGUUAGCGAUAUAUAGCUAGUGACUGAGCGAAAGCAUUAAGUAAUCCACCUGGGGAGUACGUCGGCAACGAUGAAACUCAAAGGAAUUGACGGGGGCCCGCACAAGCGGAGGAACAUGUGGUUUAAUUCGAUGAUACGCGAGGAACCUUACCUGGGUUUAAAUGGGGAGUGCCAGGUGUCGAAAGAUGCUUUUCCUUCGGGACACUCUUCAAGGUGCUGCAUGGUUGUCGUCAGCUCGUGCCGUGAGGUGUCGGGUUAAGUCCCAUAACGAGCGCAACCCUUGCCGACAGUUGCCAUCACGUAAAGGUGGGCACUCUAUCGGGACUGCCGGUGUAAACCGUGAGGAAGGUGGGGAUGACGUCAAAUCAGCACGGCCCUUACAUCCAGGGCUACACACGUGUUACAAUGGCCAGUACAGAGGGCCGCUACCCCGCGAGGGGAUGCCAAUCUCGAAAGCUGGUCUCAGUUCGGAUUGAAGUCUGGAACCCGCUUCA
rnacentral:rRNA from 1 species